rnacentral:ncRNA from 1 species
UUAAAGUUUUAUUUUGGCUUAUAAAUUUAUUAUUAGUUUAUUUUAUAUGUAAAUUUUUGUGUGAAAUUUAAUUUAUUUAUUUUAAAAAUAAUUAAUUUAAUUUUAUUCGCAGUAAUUAAUAUUAUUAAUUAAGGAAACUUAGAAAUAGAAAUAUUAAAUAGUAUUGACUUAAUUUGUGCCAGCAGUCGCGGUUAUACAAAUAAUGCAAAUAAAUUUAAUUAGUAAAAGUUAAAUUGAAGAAUUUAAAAAUAAAAAUAAAAUUAUUAGGUGAAAUUUUAAUUUUAUGUAUUUAUUUUAUAUAUUGAUUUAUUGAAGCUUACAAAUUUUAUUUUUAAACUAGGAUUAGAUACCCUAUUAUUUAAAAAGUAUUUAUUUUAUUAAAGUAGUAUUAGUUAUGUUCUUGAAACUUAAAAAAUUUGGCGGUAUUUUAAUCUAUUCAGAGGAACCUGUUCUGUAAUCGAUAAUCCACGAUGGACCUUUCUUAAAUUUGUUUAUAAAUCAGUUUAUAUACCGUUGUUAUUAGAAUAUUUUAUAAGAAUAAUAAUUUUCUAAAUAUUUUAUUAAAUAAUAUAUCAGAUCAAGGUGUAGCUUAUAUUUAAGUAGAAAUGGGUUACAAUAAAGUUAUUUAUAUGGAUAUUUGUAUGAAAAACUUAUUGAAAUUGGAUUUGAUAGUAAAUUUAUAAAGAUUAAUAAGUUGAUUUUAGCCCUAAAAUAUGUACACAUCGCCCGUCACUCUUAUUAUUAAGAUAAGAUAAGUCGUAACAUAGUAGAUGUACCGGAAGGUGUCUCUAGAAUGA